rnacentral:rRNA from 1 species
CCUACGGGUGGCAGCAGUGGGGAAUAUUGCACAAUGGGCGAAAGCCUGACGCAGCGACGCCGCGUGAGGGAUGAAGGUCUUCGGAUCGUAAACCUCUGUCAGCAGGGAAGAACGGUCACGGUGCUAAUCAGCAGUGACUUGACGGUACCUGCAACGGAAGCACCGGCUAACCACGUGCCAGCAGCCGCGGUAAUACGUAGGGGGCGAGCGUUAAUCGGAAUUACUGGGCGUAAAGCGCUCGUAGGCGGUAUGUCAAGUCAAGGGUGAAAGCCCCGGGCUCAACGGGGGAACUGCCUUUGAAACUGGCAAGCUGGAGUGUGUGAGAGGAUAGUGGAAUUCCAGGUGUAGGGGUGAAAUGCGUAGAUAUUUGGAGGAACAUCAGUGGCGAAGGCGACUAUCUGGCACAUAACUGACGCUGAGGAGCGAAAGCGUGGGUAGCAAACAGGAUUAGAUACCCGAGUAGUC